CUCCCUGCUCUGCUAAGUCUGCGCUGCUGCAGGAGGGGUGGGGGGCAGGGGUGCGGAGAUGGGGUGCUGGUGUCUUCUUUCUCUCUCUGCCUCCCCCCAAGUGCGGACGCGGGAGCUCGGCCCGCCCCCACCCCUGCGUUCGCAAUCGGCUCCGGGAGGAGGCGGCAGGCGCUGCUGCCGCUGCAGCAUCUCCCGGGGAGCCGCGACCCUGCGCCCGCAGCCACUGCUGCCGCCGCCGCGGUCACCAGCCCAGCCCGAGGGCGCCCGGGCUCCCGCCCUCCUCCUGGGGACUUUCAUCUGGGAAGGCAGGAUUCACCAGGGAUCUGCUCAUGAAGCUGACAGCCGCCCAGCUUUGAUGGAGAACCCCCUCUGAGCUCUGGCCAUCUGCAGAGCCCCAGCUCCCAGUGGGUGGGAUGAAGCUUGAGGCUUCCCCCUCAGCCACUUUUCAGGAGAGUUAAGCGCUACCCGAAGCCUGCCUGGGCGUGCAGUCUGCUUCUUGAGCCUCACAGUGGAGGCAGAGUCAGACUCUUUCUUGGAACCUAGAAGGGCAUUGAGGAGAGGCCCAGGGCCUGCUGAACCGGAAAGCUUUCAGGAAAAGGGAAGGAAUCCUGCACAGCUGAAGAUCCAGGGUCUAAGCAAGAAGCAUACAAGCUUGGAAGGAGGGUGAGACCGACUGCCAGAGCAGCAGGGCACAUGUGUGGAACAGCCGGGAGGGCAAGGAAAGGCAGCUCCUUCUUCGCACUUCAGACCUCACCUGCCUUUGUCCUCAGGAGCACAUCCAUGCUGGAACCCAGCUCUGAAGGCUGCGGCGUCCUCACACUUGCCACCUCCUUGGUGGCCCGUGUUAAUCUCAGCAAGGAUUUGAAGGCUGUGCCAACACGUGGCGCGUGGGGCCUGGAGUCAGGGAGCCGAUCUCCAAGUGCAUGGCCCACUGGGUGACAUUCCAACUGCCCUCUCUCUUGGCAGGCAUGGCACCGUGUGCAGGGAGGGGCUGGUUGGUGAGCUGCGCAGGAACGUGCUUCAACGAAGCAAAUAACUUCUUGCAGCUAUUCCAAUUCUCUUCUCUUCAGAAAGGGAUGAAGAAGGUGAUCUACUUUGCAGAAGGCUGAGGUGCUGACCGCAGGGAGGACAGGGUCUCUAUCAGGAAAAGGAGCUAAGGUUCUACCGCAGCUAUGGUUGAAAUCUCCUUACUUAAUAAAAAUGAUUGCUCUCACGUUUGAAGGGAGGUGUCACUAAGGAUUAGUGGAUUUGAAGGGUUUGGGCGGUGUCAAUCAAUGGCAGCAAUCACCUUUGGGGUCUAAGUCCUGGGCAAGUGCAGGUCUCACCAGGCUGGCUCCUGAGUCCUUUAUGCAUAAUCUGCAUGCAAUAAAGAGCACAGAGUUUAAGUGUGAAGUUUGUCAAGUUCCAACAAAUUAUGCAGCCAUGUACCCAGCAUUGCAACCAAGACGUGGAACCUCCAACGGCCCGGAGACAUCCUGUGAGCUCCCCUGAGCCAGUGCCCCGGGGCGGCCGAGCGCUGACUUGCUCACCUGGCCUCGUAAGGGAAGCCAUGCUGUGGGCGGUGGGCGGGCGGGCAGCCUCUUCCUCCCCCUCAGAGCCUGGCUCCCAACUCCCUGCGCUGCCGUCGCCACCGUAGCCUCUGCUCCUCCCCGCUGCCAAUCAGUGCUUCAGCACACCAAUGUCACGUCACCUGCCAGUGGGCACUCACAGUCACCUGCUGCCUAGAUCCCCACAGAGACAGAUUGGCCUCCACCUGUGAGAUGUGGGCCAGGGGUCAGCUGCGAGGGCUGUGGCUGCAGCGGUCGCCUCCCCUCGUGUAUCCAGCAGAUGGGCACCGAGCUGGCAGAGGGUGUACAUGCGGCUCAGAAUUUCCUUGCUCCGGCAGCCAGAGGAUCCCAAGUGGGACGGGCGUGGAGCCCAGGGCGCCUUCGCUCCUCCAUACUCCACUUUCUUGCAGGCUGGCUCCGCUCUGGGGCAGCUGCUCUCCAGAGCGUGGCCAAGGUGGUUCGUAGCAGCUGCAGGCUCAUGUGUACAGCCGGGGAAGCAGUGUGUGUUGGGCUCGGGACUGGGUGAUUUCAAGAGAUCCAACAGCAACCUCACGGUGAAUACUUUCUAUUGACCACAUCUGCGUCACCUGACCUCACAGAGGUGAUAGGAGCCCCCCCUCCACCCCUAGAGCCACCCACGCUCCCAAAGAGGAGGGCUGUUACAGAAGGAAAGAGAGUAGGCAGGAGGAGCAAAAGCUGCCCAGCACCUGCAGCCACCCUUAGUGCCCGAAUAUGACAGCCAUGGCCAGCGACCCACAUGUGCCACUCGGCAGCCGGAGGGUUAGCUUCCACGGCUCUGCCAUCUUGGUGCAGUGGUGGGCGGAAGUUGAACUGCCUUCCUGUGCUUUGACCUUAUUUGGACUCUAAAAAUAAGUAAAGAUAGGAAUAUUAGAAUGCUGGUGCUAGCAACAAGAAGCAAAUGUUUUGCUAAUGUAAUCCAGCUGAGACGGGAUGACCUUGUCUGAGCAGCCCGAAGGGGGCAGCUGCCUUCUGCGCACGUGAGGGCGAGCGUGGUGUCCAGUGCUGUGGCUAGGAGGCUCUGCUCCUCACUGUGAGGGCAGCGGCCUCUCUGAAGCACACUUGCUCUGUGUCGGCAGAGGUCAUCUGGGAGUGAGUCGUGGUCUGAUGCCUCCCGAGGGACUCCUGUGCACCUCCGUGGCUGUGUUGCACACCCACUCGGAGAGACCUCCCAGGGAGGAACGGCACUCUCAGGGGAGAGACUGCAGGGUGGGUGGGUGGCACCGAUGGGUAGAACCGGAGGCAAGAGGGCAGGCAGGAGUGUGAGGAGGGCCCCUGCAGGCAUCCAUACCUCAGCGGUGCACUUUCUGCCACUCAGGAGAAGCCUCACCAAGGAGCCCGCUGGGAGGCAGCCAGGAGCCUGAGCUUCAACCCCAAACCAGAGAGAAAGUGAAACAACACAUAUGAUUUGGUGAAAAUGUUGCUUUCCCGACAAA